rnacentral:lncRNA from 1 species
UAAGAAAAGGGAAAAUAAAUGUAGUACUGUAGACUACUGCUGUACUAACUACCUUAAACCAGAUUUGUAUUAAGGCAUCAUGUGAUUAAUUGUACCAUACUAUUGACUGGUAACAACGACAUAAGAAUGGUCGUAAUAAGGAAUGACGUUUGGCACCCGCAGACCUGCAAGUCCCGCUNAGCAGCCAGUUGUAGGAUAGUCAAUCCAGUAUAGAUCUAUACGCAAACUCACGCUCUCCCUUCAAGAGAUUCUGGCUACAACUCGGGCCGUGACAUUUAAGGCAUGCCCCGAUAUAUAUCAUAAUAAUUAACGUAUUGAUAUAUAUGUAAUGUAAUGAACUGUUCUAGCUGUAAUGUACGUGCUUUCUACCUAGCAAGUAUAGUAAUGUAAUCGUUCUAGUAUCGUUGUAUAUGUUCUCUUUCUAGUAUAGUUGUAUAUGUUCUUCUCUAGUAUAGUUGUAUAUGUACUCAUAGUAAUGAAAUGUUCUAGCUGUAAUGUAUGUGCUCUCUAUCUAGCAAGUAUAGACUCAUGAAUGAACUGAUUCAUUGUAUGAUAUCGCGUUCAAGUAAUAGUUCUAGUAUCUUCCUAAACUACCCAAAUGGUAGUCUACUAGUAAUCUAACUGGUAUGUAUGGACAUGCAUGUAUACCCUUGCUACCCAAGGGCAUGGGAUGAACUGGAAGGACCUUUUAUGACUAUAUCUGUACACAUGAGAUAUAACUAAUAUUUAAACGACCUUUGGAUGAGUACCCAAUAUCCCACCAGACCACAUCCAAAUUGAGAAAAAGGGAAUAGGGUGGAUAGCGUUCCUAAGUCUUUUAAACAUUUCUUAUAUAACUAUACAUAUAGAGGCAUGCAAUUUAUAAUAUAAAAGCAUAAAAUAAGAUUUGUAAAACCUUUGAACAUAAAUAUUUUCUAAGAAAAGAUCGACUUGAUGUCGAUCUUUAAAAUGGUUUCAUAGGCAUGGGUUUGAUAAAACAGUUUAGUAUAAAGAACAUUUGUUUGAAACACAAUUGUAAAUAAGUUUGAAAUGUAAUAUACAGAAUAAACUGUAUAGUGUAAUUAGGAGUUUUUAAACACAUAAAGUGUUUAUCAAAAACAUUUGAAGGAAAUUGUUUGGAAUACUUGUAUCCCCCCCAUAAAACAUUUAAAAACAGUUUAAAACAUUGAUUAAGGGGUAUGAACUCACCUGCAGUAAGUGAUUGGAAUUGAACGAACUGUUAUCGUAAGGAAGGAUCGGACAAGUGCUUGGUGUCAAGUGGAGACUUUAGACACACACAAUGAUCCUAAUUACAUAUGAAGACAUAUGUAUAUAAAUAAUUAGUGAUUAAAACACUAAUUAUACAAGUAUAAACAUUUAAACGCGAGGAAAACACUUUUGGUCAAGUGCUAGGAGGCUAAUGGGUUGCAACAAAGGAGUGUAAGGCAUCUAAUGGGAGUUUAAGGUCUAAUGACCAUAUGUUUUGGAGUUUACGGCCUAGGGGAGUAAACUCCUGGCCGUAAACUCUCAACAAAGUCUCUAAAUGAAGUCUAACAAUUAUACAACUCAUGUGGUGAAUUGCUUCAAGGCUUAAACAAGUGUUUGGGCUUCUUAUUAACUCCGUUGAGGAGUUUAUGGCCCUGGGACCAUAUCCCAUGGAAUUUAUGGCUGUAAACUCCCUUGGGAGUGUAUUUAUGGUGUUUUCAAGUCUCUAACAUUUCAAGGUUAUGAUCUAUGUUGGGUUCUAGGCAUAAGGAAGGAGUUAGGGUGUCAUUUGACCCCUUUUAUAGGGGUUUACGGCCCAAGAACUUGUCUUGGCCAUAAACUCCUUAACACUUGUGAUUCCUCAUGUUUUCUAGGCUUUGAACACUUUAGGGUACAUGCCUAAAUUCAAGUCUAAGCCUUAGGUGCCUUAAAAGCACCAUUUGAGCAUGUUAUUUGGUGUUUACGGCCUAAGAUACUCUUGGGUCGUGAACUCCUAAACUUGGGUGGUUCUUGCUUGAUGUCAUGUCCCUAACACACUCCUAUACAAGUCCAAGGUAGUUACUAAUCACGGGGGACAAUCUAGGCUUGGUUUCGGGAGUUUACCGCCCAAGAACACCUUGGGGAGUAAACUCCUAAAUCGGAUGAUUUAGCUAUGUAAUCUAUGUUAUGAACACAUUUAAAGCUUUCUAACACUACUAGAAAGAGUUACUCACAAUUUGGAUAAAAACCCGAAGAUCCGUGAGAGAGAAUUUUGGAUUAUCUCUAGUUGGAAAUGUAACUAAUGAAUUAUUUUGGUUCAGAUUUUUAUAUAUAGUCCUAAGAUUUUUGGAAGACUACAUUAUCAUAACAAAACAUUCGGGUCUUGUUAGAAGACUAUGUAACAGUACUCAGGUAUGGUAUUCAUGUAAAUGUAUUCAGAUAAAUGUAUCUAUGUAAACUUACUCAUGUAUCAUGUAAUCCUAGGUAAAUGUACUCAUGUAUCAUGUAAGCAUAUGUAAGUGUUAUUUUCUACUUGUAUUCCCCUCAUUAAAGCAUUUAAAAUCAUUUAAAACGUUGAUUAGGGGUAUGAACUCACAUGUAGAUGGUGAUUUGGAUGAACUGAACGGUGUAUGAUUGUUAGGUGUCAAGUGAGCACUUCUACACGCACUACGAUCCUAAUGAACAUAUAAUCACACAUAUAUGCACUCAAUUAGUCUUAAAUUACUAAUUGAUAAUGUUAAGACAUCCUAGAACAUAAUAAACACUUUAUAUAAGUGUUAUAAGCCCUAAGGAUUGCAUCUAAGCUAUUGUGGGACAAGGCACUUGGGUUUAGGGUUCCAAAGGACCCUAUACAUGAGUUUACUCUUCAUAUAUCCUCACACAUGGAGUUUACGGUUGUAAACUCUUGAGUUUACGGCCGUGAACUCCCAAACUUGUGGUAUUUUGUGUUUUGAAGUUCUAAGUGAUCCCUAGAAGUAUUCCAAAUUGGUGGUUUAAUUCUUGGAAGGGUUUAAGGCAUAGAAACACUCCUUUGAGGAGUUUACGCCCCUAAGGACAUUUCCCUUAUAGUUUGCGGUCGUAAACUCUUAAGGAGAGAGGUGUUUUUGAUGCUUUCAAGUCUCUUGCACAUGUGGUAUAGGUCUUAGACUUUUAUCCCAAGCAUAUGAAGGCCUUUGACACACUUUGGUGCCCUUUAAUCAUGUUUACAGCCCAAGAACCAUGUCAUGGCCGUAAAAUCACUUUGGAAGGUGUUUUUGAUGCUUUAAUGUCCUUGAUUUAUGUAGGAGUAAUCCUUGGUAAUUGUUCAAGACUUUAGGAGUGCCAAAAGCACUCUUUGGUCCAUGAUUUUGGAGUUCACGGUCCAAGAUCUUCUUGGGCCGUGAACACCCAAAACUUGGUGAUUCUUUGUUGUUUUCAUGUCCCAAAUACACCCAUAUAUGAGUCCAAGGUAGUAGCAUAUCACGGGGGAAAGACUAGGCUUCGUUUCGGGAGUUUACCGCCCAAGAACACCUUGGGGAGUAAACUCCUAAAUCUAGUUAUUUAGCUAUCUAAAUCAUGUUAUAAACACAUAAUAAGCNNNNNNNNNNNNNNNNNNNNNNNNNNNNNNNNNNNNNNNNNNNNNNNNNNNNNNNNNNNNNNNNNNNNNNNNNNNNNNNNNNNNNNNNNNNNNNNNNNNNNNNNNNNNNNNNNNNNNNNNNNNNNNNNNNNNNNNNNNNNNNNNNNNNNNNNNNNNNNNNNNNNNNNNNNNNNNNNNNNNNNNNNNNNNNNNNNNNNNNNNNNNNNNNNNNNNNNNNNNNNNNNNNNNNNNNNNNNNNNNNNNNNNNNNNNNNNNNNNNNNNNNNNNNNNNNNNNNNNNNNNNNNNNNNNNNNNNNNNNNNNNNNNNNNNNNCCGCUCUUUCGAUCUACUCGGAGUCUGAAUUUUCACUGUAACUGAUCUACAUCUAUUGGCUUGAUAUGGUUUGUUCAGAAUGGAAAUUUCGGGUUGUCACAAUAGGCAACUAUUUCGGCUUUCAUGUUUAGCCACCAAUACAAUUUCUUGAGUUCCAGAUACAUCUUGUCUGAACCGGGAUGCACGGAGUAUCGAGUCUUAUGAGCCUCAUCCAUGACAACAUCUCUGAAUCCACCAAACUUCAGUGUCCAGAUUCGAUUCAUGUAGUAACGAACUCUGUCACCCUUGACUUCAAGAUUUUUAUCCAUUCCUCUUAAGGCUUCACCAGCCACGUUUUCUGUUUUCAAGGCUUCCAAUUGAGCUUCCUUGAUUUGUGUGGAUAGGUGUGAAUGGAUCGUCAUGGUUAAGGACUUCACUCAGCGGCCCGAGUACUCCUUUCGACUAAGAGCAUCAGCUACUACAUUAGCUUUUCUUAGAUGAUAACGAAUCUCGCAUUCGUAAUCGCUCAGUAGUUCUUUUUGGUUGAGAAUGUGUUGAAGGCUCUUGUGAUUGGUGAAGAUUGUGCAUUUCAUGUCGUAGAGAUAGUGUCUCUAGAUCUUUAGAGCAAAAACGACUGCUCCCAGUUCGAGGUUGUGGGUAGUGUAGUUGACUUCGUGCGUCUUGAGUUGUCUUGAGACGUAGGCGAUGACCUUUCCUCGUUAUAUUAGAACACAUCCAAGACCUUGGUUUGAUGCAUCGCAGUAGACCACAAAGUCUUAUGUUCCUUCUGGCAGGGAUAAUAUAGGUGCGCUGCAUAGGGCUUGUUUCAGUUUUUGGAACACAGCGUCUUGUUAUUCUCCCCAAUUGUAGGUUACACCCUUCUGAUUCAGGGCAGUAAGUGGUUUGGCAAUCUUUAAGAAGUUUUGUAUCAAUCUUCGAUAAUAGCCAGCAAGGCCCAAGAAUUGUCAAAUUUCCGUUGGAGUUCUGGGAAUUGCCCAGUUCUCGAUUGCCUUGAUUUUGGAAGGGUCCACGUGUAUCCCUUCUUUGCUGACCACGUGACUAAGGAAAUCUACUUUCCGAAUCUGAAAUUCGCACUUUGAAAAUUUUGCGUAUAACUUCUAUGCCCUUAAUGUUUCCAAGACCUGCCAGAGGUGUUAACUAUGUUCUUCUUUGCUCUUCGAAUAGAUAAGUAUAUCAUUUAUGAACAUAAUCACAAAUUUGUCUAGGAAAGAACGACAUACUCGAUUCAUUAAGUCCAUGAACACCGUCGGUGCAUUCUUUUAAUCCAAAGGGCAUCACAACAAACUCGUAGUGACCAUAACAAGUUCGGAAGGCCGUCUUAGGAACAUCUCCUUCCAUAACUCACAGCUGAUGAUACCCAGAUCUCAAAUCGAUCUUUGAGAAAUAGCUUGCUCCUUGGAGCUGAUCGAACAUAUCGUCUAUCCGCAGUAGAGGAUAGCAGUUCUUGAUUGUGAGCUUGUUUAGUUCUCGGUAGUCGAUGCACGUACGAAAGAAUCCAUCCUUCUUCUUUACGAAUAGGACUGGUGCUCCCCAAGGUGAAAAGCUCGGCCUGAUGAAUCCUUUAUUAAGUAGUUUUUUUAGUUGCCUGGAUAAUUCCUGCAUCUCUGGCGGGGCUAGACGGUAUGGCGAUUUUGCUACUGGGAUAGCUCCAGGAAUCAUGUCGAUUCUGAACUCGACUUGACGUUCUAGUGGAACUCCUGGAAGAUCCUCAGGGAAGACGUCGGGGAAAUUGCAGACUUUUGGAAUGUCUUUGAUAUCUUUCGUAUCUUUUUCCUUAUCUAUCACAUGGGCUAGGAAAGCAUGGUAUUCUUUGCGCAUGUAUAUUUGGGCUUUGACACAUGAGAUGAUUUGUAAAUUUGUACCUGGUUUAUCACCAUAAAUGAUAAGAUUUUCGCCAUUUGGAAGAUUAAGGCGAACGGCCCUUUCGUGACAAAGUAUAUCGACAAGGUCAAGGCUUAACCAAUCCAUACCGAUGAUGACAUCAAUGCUUCUUAUAGUGAUCGGCAUUAGAUCGAUUUGGAAUGAGUGUUCAUUUAAAUCUAGCGUGCAGCCUAUGUACACAUCGUUUGUGCUUUCGUUUUUACCAUUUGCUAUUUCUACUAUAAAUAUUUUAUUAAGUCAUUGGGGGUUUUGUUUAAGCAAGUGUUUGAAUUCAUGGUUCACGAAACUCCUCUCCGUACCACAAUCAAAGAGUAUGAAUGCUUAAGCGUUAUUGAGGAGAAAUGUACCCGUAACUACCGUGGGAUCAGCUAUUGCUUCGUUCUGCCCUAUUACCAGCACUCUUCCUACACCGCCGCAUUCCUUGACUUUGGGCAAUCUCUCUUGUAGUUCCCAGCUUCACCACACCCAUAACACGCCUGGCCCACCCCGACUCCAGUAACUUGGGUGAUUGGUUGUGUCGGUGCCUUAGAGAAACGGGCAGUUUGCCCUUUCCUGUUGCAGUUAUUAUAGUGCAUCACCCAACAAUUUCUAUUGUGAUGGUAAUCGCAUUUUUUGCAUUUCGGUAGGUUUCUAGCAUAUUGCUUUGUUGGUGUAGGGGUGACAGGAACAGCGGUGGGAAUAGUAGCGGCAUGAACUGUCACUCGCUGUUGUUUCUUGGAAGGUUCUUGCGAAGGUUGACCCUUCCAUUUGUUGCAAAACUUCUUCUUGUUGUUGUUGGUAUUGUUGUUGUUGUUGUUUCUCUCUAUGGGUUGCUUCAGAAUUGCACUCAUGAAUCCUUGGCAGACACCAUGGUCAACGAGGGACUGUGCCAACUAUUUGGCACUAUCGAAAGUAACUGGCUUGGAAGCUAGUACACUUCCUUGAAUCUGGUGUGACAGCCUCCAAAUAUAUCUCUCGAUCUUCUUGCUCUCUAGAGAAACCAUUCCUGGGAAAAGUAUUGUCAAGUCACUGAACCUAUUGGUAUAGGUUGUGAUGUCCGAGUCUACCAUUGUAAGGCCCCAAAGCUCUUGUUUGAGCUUCUAUACUUCGCCUCUCGGGUAGCACUCUUGCAUGAGCAUUUGUUUCAGGUUUUCCCAUCCCAUGGAGUUAGCCACUACCAUAGUUAGUGACUUGACGUGGCCAUUCCACUAUGUUAAGGCUCAUUUGGAGAAAGUGCAUGGAGCAAAUUUUACUUUUCUCCCUUCUUAGCAUGAGCAAAUCUCGAAUAUUGCUUCCGUUUUCUUUAUCCAUUGGGAUAGAGCCAUAACUCCUCCAGUACCAUUAAAGGAUAUGGGUUUGUUGUUGGUGAAGUCCUUGUAAGUGCAUUCCCCGGAAGGACCUUGGUGUUAGCCAUUACUAGAGCUAUUUAUACCUCCUCCCGACCCGUUGUUACUCAUUUGAUCCAUUGCUACUCUAACAGCAGGCUGGAAAACAGCAUUGUCCAUUGAUGGGGGUGGUGGUGGAGGUGGUGUUGGUGUUCCUGUAGUAUUGAAGCGUCGGGGAUUCCUUCGUGGCGGCAUGAUUCUUCCAUAAGUUAAAAGACGAAUUCUUGAUAAGUCUUCAAAAAUGAUUAUGGAAAGUCUUAGUAUUAUAUGCUUUACGUUCUGAACAUUACCGAAUUUGUAAGUUAAUUGCAAAAUGGAAACUUACAAUAAUAAGUGUAUGAUUUCCUUAGUAUUUUAAGAACUUAAUGAAAUACUCAAUGAAAUAAUAAAUGUGUGUCAAUCUCAUUGAUUUUUAAUAUUCGAUACAUCGAUUAGGAAAGUUUGACCUUAACAUAGGUCUAGAGUACAUCAAUGAAAAUGUGAAAAUUUGACCGCAUUCAGACCCUGUCACAACUGGCAUUUUGCUAGGAAAUUCUAUUCCCAUAUAAGCAUCAUCCAUUAUAAAAGCCUAUACUCUAUUCUCAUUAAAAUACAUCUCAUAUGUUAAACUAAGGGUCGGAAACCUUAGAAAUCUCGGUUCAAGAUUAUUAUGGACUAGGAUUCUCUUUUUGGGUCUAACGAACCAAUAAACUUUCAACUUGACUACUUUGGGCCUAAAAUGACCCAUCUUAUUUCUAAUGGGCCUUAUUGGGCCAUAACAAAUCCAAAUAACUUUAAUAGACUCAAACACAUUCCUUUAUGCUAAAUUAGGCUGUGAAUAUGCCUAAGGGCCCAAUGGGCCAAGAACUUUUCCUUAUGGGCUAUAUGUUUUCGAACAAUACAAGAAUUGGCUCAAAUUAUUACACUACUCCUUUCCUUAAUCCCAUUUUCGGCCCAUAAGUUUAAAAAUAAAAGAAAAUGGAGGAUUUGUGUGGCAUUGCCACCUCCAUAUUAUUUAGCAUGCAACCAAGCUUAAAAAUCCCAUACUUCCAUGCAUGUCAAAUCAUCUUCUCUCUCUUUUUCCCACCUUUUUCUCCUUCUCGGCCAAACACAUAAACACACACAUCUCACUAAAAAUCCUCCCAAAAAACUCUCAAAGAAAACAACUCUUCAUCCUCCAUUCAAACCUUCGAAUAUUAUAAGGGCUUCAAGAGGGAUUUCAUCCAAAGAAUCACUUCAAGCUACACUCUAGUGGUAAGAUCUUGCAAACAUAUUUCAUUUCUACACUCAUUCACUCUUCUUACCACUUUGAAUUCAUGAUCAUUCUCCUAGAAACAUACUAAGUUCGAGAUCCACCCAAAAAAGCUUGCUAGGGCCGAGAAUAGCAUCAAACUCUUCCAUUUCUUUCUUCAAAUCGAACACAACAAGCAAAGGUGAGCUUCAUACCCCUCUUUUUUUGGUUUUCACAUGUUUAAUGGGGGAGAAUACAAGAAAAUGUGUAGAUCUAUGUGUAUGUGUAUGCUAUGUGUGAUUUUAUGCAUGUAUGUGUGUGAUUUUAUGUGUUUUUGUGAUAAAUAUGUUACCAUAAGGGGCUUUAAAUCGAGAUCUAAGACAUGAAAAAGGAAACAAAACACAAUCUAAGUUAUUUUACAUUAAACAAGUCAAGAAAAAUAGCUUAUAAGGUUAUGAGGAACAUAUUCUAACAUAAAACCCAUUUUAGGGCUUAAAUUGUCAAAAAUACAAAAAUUAGGUUAAAAACUAUCAAGUCACGGUUUCUUGAGGGUCAAAAAGGUCAAAACAGUUUCUAUAAUCAUUUCUCUAAAUAUUAGAAUUUUCAAGGGACUUAAAAUGCAACUUUUUAGCUUAAUGGGCUAAAUUUGGGCUUUUUGGCCCAAUAAGCCCAUAGUUGCGAAAAAUGAAGUUUAAAGGGGCUGAAAUGAAACUUUCUGCAAAAUAGGGGAUAAGAAGUGCAAUAAAACUAUUUCAAAGGUCAAAAAUGCUUUUCAAUUCCAAAAAGGAUCAAAAAUGUAAACUUUUUAGAUUUUGGCCAAAAACUGUAAAAGUUGCGAAAUAUGGGGUUCUAACCGAAAAAAUCCAUUCUGGAAGGGCUAAAGCUGUUAACAAAAUAAAUUUUGGGUUAAAACUGUCUUUUCAACAAGUUUAUGAUACAAAAGUGUCACGAAAAUGUUUUAAGGACUAAAAAUGAAAUUCUUUUAUAUAAAGGACUAAAAGUGUUAUUUUUAUAAAAGAAAGUUAGUGAAAAGGUCAAAUCCUACUUUUAAACAAAUUAAUACAUUAAGACAAAAUACAAGAUCCAUGACUACUGACAAAACGGAAAACGAAUAUACAUUCAACACCAAAUAUCGUUAUAAACGAAUUGAUUCGGUCUCGAAUCAAUACAAAACAACAAUCGUUAAAUCAAAACACUCCAAUAGAUACGUGAUGACUAAAAUGAGUAAAUCUUCAAACUUUGGGCUUGUGAGUUUCAAAUCAUGCUUUUUGGGCCUUGCAAGCCCACCAACAUGAUCUUUGGGCCCAAAGGGAUAACGCUUAUAUGUUAUUGGGCCUUCAAUGACCCAAUAUUUUAUAAAAGGACUUUCAAUAGCUUUUAUGUGCUAGUGGGCCAAGGUGUCCCAUUAGAAAAGCUAGUAAGGUCACAGUAAUCAAAUGUGAGUUGGACCAUCGUGUCUUUCGCAUCCACGACAGCCUAAGGUACUUACGAUAGUAGUGGGACAUAAUGCUCCCCUUCUCUUCGUUCGCUAAGGCUCACGAAAAAUCAAAGUAGACAAAAUUAGGACAAUAUACAAUAUGGAUUAAUCAAUAUUCAUUCGUUAAGACAAUACAAAAAUCAGUAAUCACGAAUACAUUUCAACAUCGGGAAACAUCGGGUUUUCCGGGGAAUUAAAUACUACUCGCUCGAAAUUUUAUAACUAUAAUACAAAAUACCCUUCAUAUAUAUGUUUUGAAAUCAAUCAUGCAUCAACUUAUGGAUCUUCACACUUUGAUAAACAAAAGUCUUUUCAGAAGAUAUCGGAUUUUCUAGGUUUUACAAACUACACAAAUCAUUUUAUCAGAACAUUGCUUGUGAACUCACCAACAUUUCAUAUGUUGACGUUUUUCCAAAAUAACUUGUAUUCUCAGGAAACCGUUGAAGCAGGAUGAACGAAACAAACCAAUGCAUAUUGUGUGAUAUUUUGUUUCAUCAUACUCUUACUAUUUUGGCAUGUAAUAUUCAAAUACAAUACUCAAUGUAAACAAUGAAUUUUGUUAUAUUACAUGUGUGAUGAUGAUGAUGUUAUGUUUCAAUUAUAUUCACUGUAAUGAUAUUGCAAGAUGAAGUCACGCGCAAGCCCCCGGACGUUUCCGCCGUCUGGUUCGUGGGUGUGACAGGUUGGUAUAAGAGCAUUGUUUAUAGUGAACUAGCAUAUCUAAUCAUGCAGGAUAUGCAACUAUAAAUACAAUGGGACUAAACAAAUCUGAACAUAAUAAUUAAAAUACAUACCUUUGUGUGCAUUUUAGAAUAAUAACACAACAAGAACAGUAAAAGUCUUUGGUGGAUUUGAACAUCGCUAUUAAACCCGGGUAGUUAUGUAGUCGUAUUGGGGGUGAAUGUAGCCUGAUCAACUAAAUUCAUUCAAAAUACGACCAACAUGUGCUCGGGAGUAAUUGUGAUGGAUAAUGAAUCAAAAACUUACCAUUUAAUUAACCAAAGAGCUUAUAGAACAAAACCUAAACAAAACUAAAUUACUAUAGGAGUAAUUGGUAUGCUAUUUGUUUCUAGUGUUUAUACCCCUUCGUGUAAUGCACUAUAGACGAGUAUCAUUAGCUAGGAAACCCCUAUCUCCGUAGUCAGGGAAUUGUAGGGUGGCUCUACCCAGAGGAAGACCCAGAAGGAGACUCAGAGAAAGAACUAGAGUACCGACUUAUCGUGUGGGCCCCGGUGCCCCCAUUCCCCCUUGGGUGCACGAUAUUUGGAGAUAGAGUCACCAGCAGGGAAUACGACCACGCCACGGUAGGAACUAAGGUCUCUAUGAUCUUAGUCAUAGAGGACCAGCGGACCGGGCCCUACCAGUCAUGGUCCGGCACAGCUAAGGUAUUGCUAACCAAGCUCAGGACACCCCAAAUCGAACGGAACAAAUGUGGUUUGCUAUUUAGAGAGAUGAGAAGCAAACACAGGAAGUGAACGGAGACUCUCGAGCAAGACAGUUAGUUUGGGAAGUACGACUACGAGAUACCGAACAACAAGUAGCUCGCCUCCGAGGUGCAUCCACUUCAACAGCACCACCACCGGCACUUUCCGCCACAAUUAGGAUCAGCCUUUUCUUUUCUCCCCCCUACUAUCCGAUGUGGCUCUUUUUCGUGUACUAAGAUGGCACUUACCAAUGGAACAAUUAUGUGCUAACUUUAUUUCAAAUUACUACAUAAAUUCAAUUAUAUGCACAACCGAACCCUCAAAAACUACUAGAUACUUAAGGAUCUCGAAACCAAAACAACCCAUAUACUCUAAGUAUAGAUGUAACGAUCGUGCCAAAUCUGCGAUUACCUACUACCACAAAUACAUCAUAGAAAUGUAGAUGGAAGCAGUGAUAAUUAUAUGACAAGAUGCAAAAUUUAUAGAGUACAACCAGGAAUGAUGACCAUUACUUGUGAUUUGGCUUAUUAACGUGCAUCAGGAAAAUGCCAUCCCACAGGAAUAACAACCACACCCGCGAGACACCGCUCCGGCAAAUGGAAUCUACUACAGUCCAAGCUGCUGUAACAGCAGCAGUAACCGCUGCUAUAGCACAAAUCAAUGCAAACAACACUAAUGGAGGCAGGAAAAGCAUUGACAACUCCAGCCGAAGGAACGAACAUGGAAACCAACAAGUGAGAGCUCAUCAAGGAACUCCAAACCCCAAGCUUAAGAGUAGGAAGCGGAAGUCUGGAAGUAAGAAAAAGGGACAGCCCACUCAAGGGUUCUCAAAGAAGCAACAUGUUGUUGCUGUUCAUACGACCAUGACCCCUAUUACACCAACAACCACAAGACCAUAUGUUGGAAGCCUUCCAAAAUGCAACCAGUGCAAUUUCCAUCAUAAUGGAGCUUGCCAGGAGAUGCAUUGUAAGAAAUGCAACUGAAAGAAUCACACCACCAAAUACUGUAGAACUUAUCCAUGCCAGAAUCAUCAACCAAAUGAAAACAACAACAAUCGCAACAACCCUAACAACAACACCAAUGAUGAGACCAGUCACACCUGAUGUGGGUGUGGAGGAACCGAGCACUUCAUGCGUAAUUGCCCCAAGGAUAACAAUCAAGGUGCAGAAGGAUCAGAAAUGGUCCUGACCUUGGGUCAAGGUGAAGCAGCCCAAGACCCGACGGUUGUUACUAGUAUGUUCCCACUCAACAACUCUUUCGCUUACCUCUUAUUCAAUAGUGAAGCCGAGCGAAGCUUCGUUAGUAACAAAAUCGAAAACUUACUAAAACAAACAACCCCAAAAGCUAAACGAAGCCUUCACGAUGGAGACGGCUAAUGGGAAAAACCGGAUCAACCAAAGAUAUUUAUGUAGAUUAUACCUUAACACUAAACAACCAUUCAUUUCAAAUACAUUUAAUGCCAGUAAAUAUUAGGAGUUUUGAUGUGAUAAUCAGCGUGGAUUGGUUAAGCCCCACCAUGUUGAUAUUAUGUGUCACGAGAAGGCUGUUUGCCUUCACCCCCAAUCAUGAAACUCUAAUAACCCAUGGUGAUAAACCUAACGUCAAUCCUCGUCCUAUUUUAUGCAUCAAGGCACAGAAGUGCCUGCACCAGAAGAAGUACGUUUCCUCGCUCUUGUUGUGGACAAGACCAAGGAAGAAGUAGGCAUACAAGGUAUUCCAGUAAUAUGCGAUUUUCUGGAUGUAUUUCCCGAAGAACUUCCAGGAAUACUCCAGAGAGACAGGUUGAAUUUCGAAUCGAGCUCAUACCGGGAACCACAUCAAUUGCCAAUUCACCCUAUAGGUUGACUCCCACCGAAAUUCAGAAGUUAUCCAGUCACUUAAGAAAAAUUUUGAGCAAAGGAUCCAUCGGACCAAGCUUCUCACCUUGGAGAGCUUCGGUCUUGUUCUUCAAGAAGACGGAUCCUUCAGAAAGUACAUCGAUCUUAGGAAAUUGAAUAAGCUCCCUAUCAAAAAUCGAUACCCACUUCCUCAGACUGAAGGUCUAUUUGGCUAGCUCCAAGGAGCUAGUUACUUAUCUAAAAUAAAUCUAAGAACCAGUUAUCAUCAACUUCGAGUACGAGUAGACGACAUUCCAAACACUGCCUUCCGAACUCGUCGCGACCAUUUCAAAUUCAUUGUGAUACCCUUCGGUCUAAUGAAUCCUCCCACAGUAUUCAUGGCCCCUACGAACAGAGUUAUCCCAACCAUGCCUAGUUAGCCUUUUCAUUAUUUUCAUCAAUAGCCUACUCGUCUGCCCACGAAGCGAGAACGAAACACUGCCAGCAUCUACGACCAGCCUUGAAAGCAACUGAGUCGGAGGAUAUUCCGAAGAAAGAUCUGCAUGGAUGGAUAAAACUCUCUAAGUUGAAAGAUGAAGCUUAUUGUUAUAAGGGUUGAGUUGGGCGUUAUCUGGGUGAUCGUCGAUAGGUUAACCCAAUCUGCCCAUUUCUUGCUAGUACAUAAAUCAAACAAGACGAAAAGAUUAGCUUGGAUCUAUAUCGAGGAGAUCGUGAGACUCCAUGAAGUAUCAAUAUCUACUAUGUCGGAUCGAGAUAACGGAAUAUCUUCAAGACUUUGACAGUCACUUCGGAGGGCUAUGGGAACAUAGCUAGAUAUGAGCAUUGCUUACCACCUUCAAACCAAUAGCCAAAGCAAACGGACCAUUCAACCACUUAAAGUCAUGCUCCAAGCCUGAGUGUUAGAAUUCAGCAAGUCAUGGGAUACCCGGUUUCCCUUGAUUGAAUUCUCACGUAAUAACGGGUAUCGCACGAGCAUCAAGGAUGCUCCUUUCGAGACUCUUUAUGGUCGUAAAUGCAGAUCACUCAUCAGUAAUCUCACGGGAACAGAAACCAUUCACGAAAUGACAAAGAAGAUAAUCCAAAUCAGAACUAGACUUCAAGCAUCACAAGAUAGACAAAAGAGUUAUGAUGACAAAUGACGAAAACCUCUAGAAUUCCAAGUCAGAGGCCGGGUACUAUCGAAAUUCUUUCCUAGAAAGGAAUGAUUUGCUUUAGGAAACAGGAAUACUUAAUCCACGAUACAUUGGACCGUUCGAGAUUCUUGCCCGGAUUGGUCCAAUGGCUAAUAGGCUGCAACUACCUGCCGAACUCAGCAACGUACACCCUGUGUUCAGUGCCUCGAAUCUGAAAAAGUGCCUAUUAGGAAGAACUCUUAUCAUUCCCUUAGACGAGAUUGAUAUAAAUGAGAAUCUCUUAUUCGUCGAAGAACCAGUCGAGGUAUUGGAUAGGGAAGUAAAGCAUACAAAACAAAGCCGCAUUUCGAUUGUGAAGGUUCGAUGGAACGCCAAACAUGUACUGGAAUUCACAUGGGAACAUGAAGAUCAGAUGAAGCAGAAGUACCCCACCUAUUCUCGCAUUCUCAAACCUAGCUUCAAAAAGAAUUUCGGGACGAAAUUCCCUCUAACGGGGGGAUGAUGUCACAACUGGCAUUUUGCUAGGAAAUUAUAUUCCCAUAUAAGCAUCAUCCAUUGUAAAAGCCUAUACUCUAUUCUCAUUCAAAUACAUCUCAUAUGUUAAACUAAGGGUCGGAAACCUUAGAAAUCUUGGUUCAAGAUUAUUAUGGACUAGGAUUCUCUUUUUAGGUCUAACGAACCAAUAAACUUUCAACUUGACUACUUUGGGCCUAAAAUGAUCCAUCUUAUUUCUAAUGGGCCUUAUUGGGCCAUAACAAAUCCAAAUAACUUUAAUAGACUCAAACCCAUUCCUUAAUGCUAAAUUAGGCUGUGAAUACGCUUAAGGCAAUGGGCCAAGAACUUUUCCAUAUGGGCUAUAUGUUUUCGAACAAUACAAGAAUGGGCUCAAAUUAUUACACUACUCAUUUCCUUAAGCCCAUUUUAGGUCCAUAAGUUUAAAAAUAAAAGAAAUCGGAGGAUUUGUGUGGCAUUGCCACCUCCAUAUUAUUUAGCAUGCAACCAAGCUUAAAAAUCCCAUACUUCCGUGCAUGUCAAAUCAUCUUCUCUCUUUUUUUCCCACCUCUUUCUCCAUCUCGGCCAAACAUAUAAACACACACAUCUCACUAAAAAUCCUCCUAAACACUCUCAAAGAAAACAACUCUUCAUCCUCCAUUCAAACCUUCGAAUAUUAUAAGGGCUUCAAGAGGGAUUUCAUCCAAAGAAUCACUUCAAGCUACACUCUAGUGGUAAGAUCUUGCAAACAUAUUUCAUUUCUACACUCAUUCACUCUUCUUACCACUUUGAAUUCAUGAUCAUUCUCCUAGAAACAUACUAAGUUCGAGAUCCACCCAAGAAAGCUUGCUAGGGCCGAGAAUAGCAUCAAACUCUUCCAUUUCUUUCUUCAAAUCGAACACAACAAGAAAAGGUGAGCUUCAUACCCCUCUUUUUUUGGUUUUCAUAUGUUUAAUGGGGGUGAAUACAAGAAAAUGUGUAGAUCUAUGUGUAUGUGUAUGCUAUGUGUGAUUUUAUGCAUGUAUGUGUGUGAUUUUAUGUGUUUUGUGAUAAAUAUGUUACCAUAAGGGACUUUAACUCGAGAUCUAAGACGUGAAAAAGGAAAAAAAAAACACAAUCUAAGUUAUUUUACAUUAAACAAGUCAAGAAAAUAGCUUAUAAGGUUAUGAGGAACAUAUUCUAACAUAAAACCCAUUUUAGGGCUUAAAUUGUCAAAAAUACAAAAAAUGCGUUAAAAACUAUCAAGUCACGGUUUCUUGAGGGUCAAAAAGGUCAAAACAGUUUCUAUAAUCAUUUCUGUGAAUAUUAGAAUUUUCAAGGGACUUAAAAUGCAACUUUUUAGCUUAAUGGGCUAAAUUUGGGCUUUUUGGUACAAUAAGCCCAAAAUUGCGAAAAAUGAAGUUUAAAGGGGCUGAAAUGAAACUUUCUGCAAAAUAGGGGAUAAGAAGUGCAAUAAAACUAUUUCAAAGGUCAAAAAUGCUUUUCAAUUCCAAAAAGGAUCAAAAAUGUAAACUUUUUAGAUUUUGGGCAAAAACUGUAAAAGUUGCGAAAUAUGGGGUUCUAACCGAGAAAAUCCAUUCUGGAAGGGCUAAAGCUGUUAACAAAAUAAAUUUUGGGUUAAAACUGUCUUUUCAACAAGUUUAUGAUACAAAAGUGUCACGAAAAUGUUUUAAGGACUAAAAAUGAAAUUCUUUUAUAUAGAGGACUAAAAGUGUUAGUUUUAUAAAAGAAAGUUAGUGAAAAGGUCAAAUCCUACUUUUAAAUAAAUUAAUUCAUUAAGACAAAAUACAAGAUCCACGACUACCGAAAAAAAGGAAAACGAAUAUACAUUCAACACCAAAUAUCGUUAUAAACGAAUUGAUUCGGUCUCGAAUUAAUACAAAACAACAAUCACUCCAAUAGAUACGUGAUGACUAAAAUGAGUAAAUCUUCAAACAUUGGGCUUGUGAUUUUCAAAUCAUGCUUGUUGGGCCUUGCAAGCCCACCAACAUGAUCUUUGGGCCCAAAGGGAUAACGCUUAUAUGUUAUUGGGCCUUCAAGGACCCAAUAUUUUGUAAAAGGACUUUCAAUAUCUUUUAUGUGCUAGUGGGCCAAGGUGUCCUGUUAGAAAGCUAGUAAGGUCACAAUAAUCAAAUGCGAGUUGGACCAUCGUGUCUUUCGCAUCCACGACAGCCUAUUGUACUUACGAUAGUAGUGGGACAUAAUGCUCCCUUUCUCUUCGUUCGCUAAGUCUCACGAGAAAUCAAAGUAGAUGAAAUUAAGACGAUAUACAAUGUGGAUUAAUCAAUAUUCAUUCGUUAAGACAAUACAAAAAUCAGUAAUCACGAAUACAUUUCAACAUCGGAAAACAUCGGGUUUUCCGGGGAAUUCAAUACUACUCGCUCGAAAUUUUAUAACUAUAAUACAAAAUACCCUUCAUAUAUAUGUUUUGAAAUCAUUGAUGCAUCAACUAAUGGAUAUUCACACUUUGAUAAACAAAAGUCUUUUCAGAAAAUAUCGGAUUUUCUGGGUUUUAAAAAUUGCACAAAUCAUUUUAUCACAACAUUGCUUAUGAACUCACCAACAUUUCAUAUGUUGACGUUUUCCAAAAGAACUUGUAUUCUCAGGAAACCGUUGAAGCAGGAUGAACGAAACAAACUAAUGGAUAUUGUGUGAUAUUUUGUUUCAUCAUACUCUUACUAUUUUGGCAUGUUAUAUUCAAAUAAAAUACUCGAUGUAAACAAUGAAUGUUGUUAUAUUACAUGUGUGAUGAUGAUGAUGUUAUGUUUCAAUUAUAUUCACUGUAAUGAUAUUGCAAGAUGAAGUCACGCGCAAGCCCCCGGACGUUUUCGCCGUCUGGUUCGGGGGUGUGACAGACCUUCAAAUUUUGUACUCACAAUCCUUCGGGUUUACAUACAUAAAGGAAAGAGCAGCACCAACACUCACUUGAUAAGUCUACAUAUAGUGCAAGAAGUACGCGCUCUGCUCCGAGCGGGUUGUACGUUGCAGACCAUGGUAUGUUGUUGUGGAAGUCGGAACUCGAGCUACUUGACGUUCAGCCUCGAUGACACGCCUCUCCAUUACGGCUUGGUUUUUCCGAAAUUCCCUUACCUCGGCUCUAGCAGUGGUAAUGUCCUUCUGAAGGGAAAAGGUGUGCUCUAUUGUUCGAUCAUGUUCUUCGUCCAGGCGACGAAGACGUACCACCGUGAUUUGGGCAGUGGCAUCAAUGUCCAUGAUUUGGUUGGCGUUUACCCUUGCAUGCUCUCCUUGAUUAGCGAUACGACGAACCAUGAUAGGGAGUGCUCUGUCAGCUGAACCUAUGUUACUGAGGUUAUAAAAGCCUUGUCCAAUGUCGUAGGGUGGAUGUUGUCCUUGUUCCCUGCUCCAUCGUUUCAAAUCUACAGCCCAGAGGGGCGUCGGACCCUGAAAGUUCCAUCGGGGGUUUGGUGCCUUUUGGGGAGGAUUGUAGACCUCGGGUUCUGAGUCAGAUGCCUCAUCAUCUACUUCCUCUUCCUCUUUUUUGGGAUCCUCUUCUGGAUCUUCCUCGGAAACCUCUUCGGGGUCCUCUUCUGGAUCCUCCUCAAUCCAACCUCCAUUGCCCUGUUUUGGGUAGUAGGGAUCCUCGGGGAUAUGAAUGUUGGAUUAAUGUCUAAGUCAAUAACUAUAAUUGGUAAAACUUGACCUGACUCGGCAUGGUCCAUUUGGGUUGCAUGGCAUCAUGCACUUGGAUAGACUAUAAUCAUAGAAAUAAGACACUUAUGGUUAUUAAUAUAUUAUAAGUUCUAGUAUAUUAAUAAUAAGAAUAAUAAGAUUAUUUAAUUAGUAUUGAUCAAGAAUUAAUCUAGGAUUAAUUAAGUGAUCAAAAGAAGACUAAUUAAAUAUAUGGGUUGAUUGUGUAAAUCAUCCAUACUUGUAUAGUGGGCUAAUGCUCCAUGGAUAAUCAAGUUGGGCUAAACCCCAUAGGAUGGUCCAUGGAUGCUCCAUGGUGUAUUUGAACCCAUGGAUCCAAGGAAAUGGAAAGUCAUGACAAUUAGGGUUUACCCUAAUUGUAACACUAUAUAAAGAUCUUAUUCUUGACAAAAUCGGCCACUAGAGAGUGAGUAAUAGAAGGGCUAGCCGAUUUCAUGAAGUGUAGAUUUCUCUCAAGUUAUUCCAAGUGUAUUUGGUGUUGUGUGAACCAUUUGAGGUGUCACACUUGGGGCACUAGGCACUCAAGCUUCAAGAAGACUUUCUACAUCAAAGAGGUAUGUAUUCUAUCUUGUUACACUCAUUGUUUUGUAUGCUAGAUUAGGAUAAUACCUUGGAAGUUCUUAUUUGCAUGUAUAAUAGAGAAAACAUAGAUCCAAGGUAUUUAGGGUUGCAUGUACACUUAGGAGUGUUAUAAUGCACAAAACCCAACAAUGAAAUCAUGCCAUUUCAUCUGAUCGAGAAUAGAGAUAAGAGAGUUAUAUAUAGAAUUUGAGUGUAAGGGGAAAAUUUUAUGAUAAGACCUACACCGAUUCCUCCUAUAAUUACCUAGUGUAUACGAAUUACAUACAAUAGAGAUUGAAUGGGCCAUUGGAUAAGUAGCUUCACUCCAAGCCCACAUCUAAACAAGGAAAAGAGCCUAAAGUGAAAUCAUUAAUCCUAAGCCCAUGCAACCUCACUCAUAUGUAACCUUAAAGUAUGCACUUUGCAAUUAUAGCCCUGUCAGUGAAUGUUUUUAGUUUUUAUAAGCUUAAUUUUUAUUUUAAUUGACGAUCCUAGUCCUAACGAGAUGUCGGGGUUUACUUGCUUGUUAUAGUUUUUAUUGUGUCAUAAAUACUCCUAUAGUAUUUAAAUUUGUAGGUUUGAUUCUAGUGUUACUUUGGUAAGUUUUUGACUUGUUGCUCACCACGAUUAUUCCCCGACACACAUUGGUCAUAUCUCAGAUAAAUAUAGUUGAUCAGGAUAUAUUCAUCCUAGAUCUGAUUGCAUAUUUCGAGGCCUAGUCAUAGUGUCCAACUUGUCUUAAUACUUUUGGAUGGUUCUAACUAUGACAUUAAACUGUUGCAUGCAUGUAUUUGUACAUUUAUGAAAGCUAACAUUUUAAUUUAAUGAAGUAUGGUAGGUGUGAAAGCAUUUUGACAGAGAGUUUUAGUCCCUUUGCAUUUAUAGUUUGUAUAUCUUAUGUGGUUUGAGAUACUUAGUUCACUAUUAACAAUGCUCUGAUAGCAAUCUGUCACACCCCCAAACCAGAACGAUGAAAUCGUUCGAGGGCGGAUGACUUCAUGUAGUAUCAUAACAGUUGAGUAAAUACUAAAGAAAGCAAACACAACCAUCAUAAAUAUAAUUUAAAAAGUUACAUUGUUAAUUGUAAUACAUGUUUCAAAAGAAAUUAUAUUAUGAUGAUAUAAUAAGUUUGAAAUUUGACGCGUUAACGUUCCUUCCCCAAAAGCUGUGGGUUACCGGUAUUACUGAAUCCCUGAGAAAUACAAGUAGUUUUGAAAAGUUAUCAACAAUUAAGUUGGUGAGUUCAUAAGCGUUUUUGUAUAAAAAUUAUAUGCCUUUUUGUAUAAAGUAACCGAGUUUGUUUCUAGAAAAAUCCAAUAUUUUCUAUAAAUGAAUGGUAGUUUUUAAAAGUUCCAAAAACCGGAAUGCAUAAGUAUUUUUCAUACCUAAAAUAGUGUAAGUAGAUUUAUAUAUCUAUAUAUAAUCACUAAAGUGUUUGAUAGCCUCGUAAAUCAAAUGUUUUAAUAAUUCAUGUGAGUUUUAUAACCGUACUAUUGACCCAGACUGUCUGUCACAAUGUUCUUCAGGCGUUGGAAUGAUAUGACGUUUGUCACCCCAGACCUGCCGGUCCAACUGUAGUUAACAGUUUAGGUGCGGGAUUGUCAAUCCUGUAUAGAUCUAUACAUAAUUAUAACCCUCUCCCUACAGGAGAUUAUGGUUUACAAAACAGGACUCGAAAUGCGUACUUGAAAGUACGUGAAGUUAAAUGUCUCACAAAAGUUUGUAUCAAAUAGAUAUCGUAUGAAAANCAAAUAGAUAUACGUAUGAAAAGUCCAUUUUUCUUGUAAAUGUAAGUGUUUCCUUUCUAUAGUGUUCAUAGAGUGUAAAUUAUCAUGAAUAUCUCGUAAACUAUACCUAUUAUAGUUUUUCAAAAGUGUAUUUCAUUUGAAUAAUAAACCUUAGUGUGCUACCAACUUUGCAUGUAAAGUAUAACAUUUGAAAUAACAUUAUUUUACAUACUUAUCAUUUAUACACAAAAUGUAAAUAAAGAAUUUGAAACUAUAUGUAAUGAUUUGCAUUUUAACAUAAGUUUUUCUUGCGUUUAACUUGUAUUUCUCCCCCUUAAAAUAUAGCAAAAACGUGAGAAUAUAGGGGUAUGAACUCACUUGGUAGAAGUGGCGGUUUGAUGAAAACGAGACUAAACUCGGGUAGCACUUCGACUGGAGAAAGUUGAUUUCUCGGAAAUCUCGAAGCUUCGUACCUUCGUCGGAGCUUGGAUGUCACACCCGUUAAAGCAGAAACACGGAGGGUGGCAAGCUAAGGUCUCAUAACACAAGGUACAUAGGAUUACCAACCAUAAUCAUUGAGAAUUUUAAGUUUACAUCAUAUUCAAAGAAAAAUUACAUUUUAGUUCCCUAGUACAAAUUCUAAUACAUAACAAAAGAAACAUCAAGUGCAAAUUCAUGUUGACGUCUAAUUCAGAUCACUGACUCUUCCCUGAAAAGCAUGCAAAAACGAGGGUCAACUAUAAAAUAGUUGGUGAGUUCACAGGUUUAUAUAGGUACAUCAUUUCAGUAAGAAAAUAUAGAUUUGUUCAUAAAAGUUCAAAGUCAAAAUGAGUGUUGAAUGUCAAAGCACUCCACUCACAACCAAGCCUAACGACUAUUCUUGCCCUAUUCCAUCAUGUCCAUGGUUGCCAUGAUGUCAGUUCAUGGAAAUAUGCACUCACAGUUCUGGGUGAGUGGGGGCUGUCUACCUCAAAUAGCAUUAUCCAUAAGACCGUUAGCUCGAAAUACGAGUUAAUAGAUUGUAGUUCGGUUCUCGGGGACUUAACAUACAAAGUUCAUAACAAGUUCAUAUCACAAAGUUCAUAUCAAGAGUUUAUCAUAUAAAGUUCAUAGCACAAGCUCAUAACAGAGUAUCGUUCCAAGUUCAUCAAGUUCAUAAAACCAUAUCGUUCCAAGUUCAUUAAGUUCAUAAAACCAUACCGUUCCAAGUUCAUUAAGUUCAUAAAACAAUAUCAUUUCAAGUUCAUUAAGUUCAUCAAACAAGAUCAUUCCAAAUUCAUUAAGUUCAUAAAACAAGAUCAUUCCAAGUUCAUUAAUAUAGCACGGAUAGUUCAUAAAACAGUAGCAUGCUUUCCACCCCCAAACGAUGAAAACAGUAAAAAGGGGGCUGUGAAUACUCACUAGGGAGAGUUUGCGGUUCGAGCUUCACGGUUCGGUGUUGUAGAUAUCGAUUUAUACUAGUGCCCUAUGGAACAAAUAGUUUCUAGUGAGAUACAAUUCAUUAAUCCAUUAUCUAAGAACUACAUAUCCAACUAGUGGUGUCGUAAAAGUGCCCAAAGAGUGUACGAUUCAUUAUCGGUAACAUUAAUUCAUAAUGCAUUGUGUUGAAAAUUUCACAAAGGCAUACAUGGAAAUAAAUUCAAAAAGUUACAAAGAUUUUUUUUUCUGGUUCUAACAAAAGGCAUUGGUGUCCUAAAAUUUUGUAGACAUUUUUGAAGGUUAUUUGAUAUUUAAUUGUAAAUUAAAGCCCAAUUAAUAGAAAAUAUUCAAAAUAAAUGGUAAACAGUUUCUAAAAUUCUCAAUUUAAUUUUUACAAGUUCUCAUAAUGUUCCCAAAUCUAGGAAAAAUAUUGGUUUGUGCAUUUGGAUUAUAAGACCCGGUUUUGUAAAUUCAUUCCCUACUUCAAUGAAAAAUUUGAAUAAAAUAUCAAAACAUGGCCAAAUUGUAUGAAAUUUUACAUGGCAUCUUGAUUUUGUACAAAAAUCAGUUCUAUAAUUCUUCAGAUUUUUAUCUCAUCUGUAAGUAUUUAUUUUGAAAUUUUGGCCAUUAUAUACUUAUUUUUGUAGAAAAAUAAAGAUUAUAUUCUAGCACUAGGGGUUUUACAGAACAUCCCUUGAAACCAUGAUCUUCCACAAAACAAUUUAUCUAAAUCUUAUUUAUGAGCUAAAUGGGAGUAUUCAACCCCAAAAGGUUUAGAAAUGUCGCACUAACUAGUGCAUGAGUUCCAAAUGUAGCUGGAAGUUCAACAAUUUUUGUACAAACUUAUGUAAAGUUUUUCUUCAUGAAAUUUUAGGUCUUCUGAGACAAUUGUGUCAAGUUCCAAAAAUAAUUUUCUCCAGAUUUAUUGUGGGGUUUAAGGCCUAUGAUUAUGUAAUGAUAUACUAGUGAUCACAGAAAAAGUUCUGUUUGCGCAACUGUUUUGUACAAAUCGCCAAAAAUCGAAUUCUUAAUGUUUUACAGUAAGACCAAUUGGGUUCGAAAGCUAACUAAAUAUAUUAUAUUACAGAAAAAUAAUCAUGAAUUUUGGUUACGAAAUGAGUGAGAUAUGGCAGUUCAAAUUGCGAAAAAAAAAUCUGGCAGAUUGCAUGCAUGAUGAUUGGUUAGAAAUGUGAGUUUUCAUCAUUAAUUUGAGUAAAUGCUUUGAAAUAAUUUAAAAUAUCAUGAUAAAAUCAUACUCUAAACAUUUUUUUCCAGAUAUCAAAUGAUUAAAACUUAUCAAAAUGCCUACAUGCACUUAAGAAGGAAAAAUUGUUUCUCUAAACUCUUUACUUGAGUUUGAUGUUUUAAUCCUUAAAAUCAAUUUUCCCACUAAGAUUGUGAACAUGCAACCUUGUUUACCAUACAUGCAUGGUGUUAAAACACAUUCAUGAUGUUUUAAAAACCAUUUUAACAAAAAAGGAAAACAAUUUGAAAAAUAUGAAGAAGUAGAAGUUGGUUUUUGAAGUAAAAUGCACAUGCAUGGCUUAAAUCAUUGUCAUAACAUAGGUUUGAUCAUAGAUUUUCACCAUUUCUAAUACAUGCAACAUGUGAUGGUGAAAAUCUAUAAACAUUAAUAUAGAAAAGAAGAUUCUAGCCAUGGUAUAGGCAUAGAAUCCGAAAAUGAGAUGAAAUUAAAGAUGUUUUUGAAGCAAGAGUGGUAAAAUCAUAAAAGAUGGUUGUGAAUUCAUACCUUGACUUUGAUUUUUUUUUUAUCAAGAAAAACAUUUGGAGCUUCAAAAUUUCAUGGUCAAGGUCUGUUCUUGAAGGCAUUUUGAGAGUGUUUUUUAGAGAAAAACUUGUUCUUGAAGGAUGUAAAAAGGUUAGGUAAAGAGAGAGAGAGAGAGAGAGAGAGAGAGAGUUAGAGUGCGAAAAUGGUCCACAUGAGUUAUAAUCAUAUGUUUUAAGGCAUGGGGAAGUGGGAAAGGCCUAAUGGCUGAAUUUUUAAGAGAGAGAGGGUAUUUUUCUUGUUAUUUGAUAAAAUAAUAAAAUCCUCCCUUGAAUUUUUUAUAAAUCUAGGCUUUAUAUUUUAUAAAAACUCAAAUAUUAUCAUAAUUUCUUAGGGUUUUAUUCAUUGGGUUUUAUUGAAAUAUUUACAUUUGGAAAUAAGUUGUAAAAUUAUAUUGCUUGAAUUAAUUUAGAAAAAUGAUAACCUAUGAUUUAACUUUUAUAAAAAUCAAUUUCUCAUAUUUCAACAAUUGCCACAAGGGUUCAUAAUAUGUGGUUGUAGGAUUAGACAAUCCUUGAAUUAUACUUUUGGCUCAUAAUUCAAAUUAUGAUAUUUUGAUAUCAUUAACUAUCGAUUAAAUCAAAUCCUGAUUUAAUUAAAUUGAUUUUUAUAAGUACUUAAACUUGUUAAGAACGUCAUAUGUUCCGAUUAAUAAUUUAGGGUAUUUAACUUACCCUUGAGUCACGAUCUAUUGAACAUGGUUUCGUGUUUAGUUUUGUGAUUGAACUUUUGUACUUUACAACCUAGUUGGAGUAUUCACGUAUUAAUGUGACAGCUUAGAACAAGCUAAGUUACACUACUUGUUUCGAGGGAUCUAUUAAGUCGUGAUCUAUCUCAACUUGUUGCUUCUAAAGCCAAGAUAUGUGCACGCAUGGAAAUGAAAAGGUUCUAGAUGAGUCCUAACCUGAGUUUUGAUGGUUAUCACAUUGGAUAUGGAACUGGGGCAUCGAGGUAUCUUCGAAAGGCUCGAAAGUGAGAAAAUGGGAGAGAAAUGGUGUAAAUUAGCAAAAGAAGUUGGAACCCUCGCAUCUUAUUUAUAGGGUUGGGAUGAACCUCGAACGCGGGGCGUUCCUGCGAAGAACGUGGGGCGUUCCCGAAACGCAGGGCACUCCUUCGGAUGCAUCGCAUUUGGAGCCUUCGUGCCUCAUUACAUACGAACUUCGGACUCGAUGGGUGAUGGGACUGGCUCUGGUCGAAGAACGCAUGGCAUUCCCUCUUGGACCUGCCACAGAUUUUGUGCCCCAAUCUUUAAAAUUCUUUAACUUUCGCAUACGAGCUCCAUUUUUGACGUUUCUUAUAUCCACACAUAGGUGAGAAUAUAAUCUACAACUUUCAUUUAGACUUCGUUGGCAAAUUUGGAAUUGAUUUUUAAUUAUAUAUUUUAAUAGGCCGAGACAGGAAAGAACCGUUAAAAAUUCAUAACCUCUUCAUCUGAUGUCCGUUUUCGUCUGUCUUUUUACCAUUGUAUUACUAUUGUUGAGAUCUUUAAUUCUCGUUUAGGUCGUGUAGGCUAAAUAUUGCUCGAUCUCUAUUUCGAGUUUUUAGUUGUCUAUCGCUACUAUGAAACUUAGAAAAAUCAUAACUUCUGCACACGAAGUCAGAUUUGGAUGUUCUUUUUAUGUACGUUCAUGGUUUAAUGAUAUCUACAACUUUCGUUUAGAUACCUAAGGCUAAAAAGUAUUUUAUUGAAAUUUCGUGUUUUACGCUUAACAGUGUUUUACUGGUUUUGCUACGGAUUUUCGAUUGGUCAUAACUUCUUUGUAAUAACUCGGAUUUUUGUGUUCUUUAUAUUUCUAAAAACCUUGUUAAGAUAUCGAUCAUUUCAUAUAUCCCAAUGGAGACUCUUGAACAUUUCAUUUCCGACACUAUUUAUUUAUUUAUUAUUACUUCAAAAAUAGGUAACAUACUUGACUUAGGUCAUUAAAUUGACUUGAAAUAUCGGGUUGUCACAAUGACUCACAAAUUUCAAACAAAACACAUGUUUUUGUAAUGAAGUGUUCGUAUAUGAAAUUUUUAUGCCUUUCGUAAUGUUUAUAAAAUAUAAAAAUAAUUGUAUUUUUAUAUAAUCGUUUCUUAGCCCUAAAAGGGUAAAAUAAAAUGAAUGUUUCCAAACUAUAGGUAUUAUAGUUUACAAUGUAUGUUUCAUUUGAACUGAUAACUGUUGUGUCAUAAGAUGUUCUGUAUGCAAAUGUUUUCAUGUAAUAGUUAUAUAAACUGUAUGAACAUAAUGAUUUGUAGUUUAACACAAGUUUCCCUGUGUUACUUGUAUUUCCCCCUAAAACGUAGGAAAAGACAUGAAAAUGUAGGGGUAUGAACUCACCAUAAGUAUGAUUGCGGGUAGAAUCUAACUAGAAAAUUGACAGCAUGUCACACCCCAAAACCAAGAAUGGCGGAAACGUUCUGGGGCGGAGGACAUCAUAUAAAGUAUCACAACACAGUAUAACAGUAAAUAAGCAAAGAACAUCAUCCAUUGCAUUAAAUAUAUAAUUUUAAUACAAGUGUGUUCUGUACAGUUAUAGACACCAAAAUGUAAAUCAAAAUAAUAAGAUGAGUCUUGGAUGUGCUCCAUCUUCUCAAAAGCUGGCCUCGGUACCUGUCUACUGUCAACCUGAGAAUACAAGUUAUUUUGAAAGAGUUUAUCAGCAUUAAGCUGGUGAGUUCAUAAGUAUUUUAGUGUCGGUGUAUGUUAUCAAAACAUUUGAACAUGGUCUUAAGUAUAAGUAUUGUAAAAUGUAUGUAAAUGUUUGUAAGUCUUUGUAAAAGUUUGAAUCUCUCAGAAAAACCUAUAUUUUCUAUUAAAGUAGCCUUCUACCAAGGCUUAACUAUUUCGUAUGUUCGUUUGUUGUAAAACUGUGUAAUUUCCCAAGUGUAAAUAUCAUUAAUAAAAUAUAGUUUGUACAUUAAUGUUUAAGUGAAAUAAUCACUAAAUAUAUGUAAAGGGUAAAUUAUUGUAGUACUGUAGUGUUGUAUUAUAGGAACUACUGCUGUACUAACUACCUUAAACCGGAUUUAUAUUAAGGUAUCAUGUGAUUAAUUGUACCAUACUAUCGACUGGAUAAACAACGACAAAUGUAGGUCGUAAAAAGAAAUGACGUUUGGCACCCGCAAACCUGUAGGUCCGGCUGUAGCUAGCAGCAAGGUGUAGGAUAGUCAAUCCA